rnacentral:tRNA from 1 species
UAGGAAGUGGUGUAGUGGAGGCACCAAGAGUUUUGAUCUCUUUAGCGGGGUUCGAAUCCCUUCUUUCUAA